rnacentral:rRNA from 1 species
AUGGAGGAGGGAGAGUUGUCUGCUGGCAAUAUGGAUGGAGAUAGUAACAUUACCAUUUCUCUGGGUUACCCUGGCAGUGCCAACUCUGUUUCCUAUGCUAAUGGUCUCGUGGCGCCACUAGAAGGAGGUAUCCCAGAUUUGAAUGAGUUACUUGGGCCCAUUGCAAAUGGCCCAGCUCCGGAAGCCCAUGUGCCACUGGUACCUCAGGUGAUUGAACCAGUUCAGCCUGCACUUGAGGAGGGCCUAGUAAAUGCUCUUAUCAAUAUCAAUCGGCCCAGUGUGGGUCACAACAUGGGACUUCUUCCACAACAGAUUGUCCCUCAUUAUUCUGACAUCUCAGUGGAUCCUAUGCAACUUGAAUUACUAGCCAAUGCUAAUUAUCAACCAACAGCUCCAACAUUACAGGCUAAUCUAGUUAAUCAGGCUAAUCCAGUGGCAGGUAGUACUUCUGCACAGAAAACUUUAUGUGAAGAUCAGAAUGCAGCACCUAAAGAGACUGACCAAGUGGAAGGGAUACCUGAAGAUUCUAACUCAGGUGAGCAUGUUCCUAACAUGUCUGCACCACCUGGGUUUCCUAUUCCAGCAUAUCUUAAUGAGCCCCACACUAUUCAAUUAGGGGGACAACAUAGUAAACUCCAAGGGACACAGAUUAUACAACAAAGUCUUCUGACAGAGGAGGAACAACACUUGGGCAUAGAGGGAGCCAGAGUUUGGAGGGAGCCUUUUGCACCAAGUCCUAAUAGCAAUGAGGUGAUUCAAGUUCUUGUUGAUUGGGCCAAUUUUCUUUCAGCGGUAUUGCUCACACCUGGGAAAUUUGCAUGGGCAAAGCAAUUUAUUAAUUCUCAAGUCUGGGAGAUUAUCACAUGGGGCUCUACUUGUCUUUAUACCUUGCCAUUUGCUAUCCCACAAUCAUGCUCUACUGAGAAUACUCUCUGUACUCUCUCUCAGCAGCUGCAUGACAAGAUGGAGCAGGAAGCCAGUUCUCCUCUACCAACUGCAUCUACAGACUCCAUUACUGCAUCCUCUACAUCUGCACUUCAGAAAAACAGAAAGAGGAAGGACAAGGCACCAUUGGUUGAAACUGAGGUCAACGAGAAGGACACCACUGAGGAGCAGCCGCAGACUAAGAAUAAGAAGAGCAAGAGCUCCAACCCAGCUAAGGAGCACAUCAGGAAGACUGCGGCUUCCAAGGAUAGCUCCAAGGCUACCUAG